CGCGCUACUUCCGGUGGCUCUGUAGCCGGUAAGGUUAGGUGAAAGUGACUUCCUAAAGUGCUUUCGGCACUUCCGGCCGAGGUGAAAUUAAGGCUCACCUUGGACCUGCUCCAAGGGCCUUGAUGCCUCCCCAAACAAACACGACCCCACCAGUCCUCACCUGCAGGUGUCUGGGUUGAGCUCUAAGCCCCGCCCUUGGCAACGGAGGAAGCUGCGGCGUCGGCAGCGGCAGCGGCAGGUCCGGGGGUCAGGGCGCUGGCGGCGCUGGGUGCAGCGUGGGCAGAGGGGCCUGGGGCUGGAGUGGGAUGGGUGAUGUCAGCUGGGGAGGGUGCUCCGGGGGCAGAGUCCCAGCCCGGAACAGAGCGGGGCUGGGGACGGUGGUGGGGAGUGGAAGCCCUAGGAGGAGAAGCAACAUGUCUGGGGCGGGAAGGAAAAGUCUUCCCGGGAGCUGGGGUUGGAUCGGAGCGCACAGACUCGGGGAGCAGAGGAAAAGGGGAGAGGGGGACACAGUGGGGGGAGAGAGAGGGGGCGGGACUGCAGCCUCCCGGCACACUCAUACACCCCCUGCCCCAUCCACACGUUACAUCCUGGGUGUGGGGUCUGGGCUCCAACCCCACCUCGGCAAGAGCCCAUGAGACUCACCUGUCUGGCUUCACAGCACUCUCUCUCUUUUUUGGUCUGAAAAGUAAGAGGACAGACAGAGACAAGGAAGAGGAAGAGAAUCAAAAGAGCCGAGCAUCCUGCUCUUACCCCAGAUCCCAGGCCUAACCCAGUUCCAGUCUUGGAAACCUGGCCUCCACUGUGGUGUACCCCCGUGCCCAGCAGCCCCCAAGCCUGGUCUCUGGGAGCUCAGAAGUGGGGCCCGGCUGGCACCUGCAUUCACACUGGCUGUGUUCUUCCAGGGACAUCUCGCCCAGCUGACUGCUCGGGUAACGGAUCAUGAGUAUCUGUACUCCAGAGAUAGGGGACACACGGUGUGAGAGAUCAUGAGAGGUACAGAGGAAGGCAAUGCUCCGUGGGCUGGAGGAACAGCUUGCCCAGCCAAGGCUCCGGCCAUUCCUCCCACCACCACCCCCCGGAGCCCCAGCAUCCGCCCCAGCUGGGCACGCCCCACCGGCCCCAGUACCUGCAUUCGGACUUGGUGCUGCCCUGUGGGCACGCACUCCAGGCCGUCGUCAGGGCAGCAGCCACCACAGCGCUGCACGGUCACACAGCUGGGCACCAGCUGCUUGGCCACGGUGCCCAUGAGCUCCACGGUCAGGGGCACCACCACCUCCCGUGGCUGGCAGGUGGCACGGGCAUACACGUCUAUCCAUGACACCACUGGGGGCAGAAGCGUAAGUGUUAAGCCCCCACUGGGUUUCCUGUAGCCGCUCCCGGGUUCCCCUAUCUCCUGUACCCUGCAGCUGUUCUCCCUAAUUCCUUCGUCCCAGCCACCCUCCACUAGCUCCCUCUCUGCCCUCAAAACCUGUCUUCCCCUGCCCAGGAACCCAGGAACCCCACUGCCUCAAUUUUCUCUUCUGUAAAAUGGGCAGAAUAAAAAAGUUUGCAUCUUA